UACGUAGGGCGCAAGCGUUAUCCGGAAUUAUUGGGCGUAAAGAGCUCGUAGGCGGUUUGUCGCGUCUGCCGUGAAAGUCCGGGGCUUAACCCCGGAUCUGCGGUGGGUACGGGCAGACUAGAGUGCAGUAGGCGAGACUGGAAUGCCUGGUGUAGCGGUGAAAUGCGCAGAUAUCAGGAGGAACACCGAUGGCGAAGGCAGGUCUCUGGGCUGUAACUGACGCUGAGGAGCGAAAGCAUGGGGAGCGAACAGG
rnacentral:rRNA from 1 species